GUGACUGGCUUCGCUCUCAGGCUAUCAUGGCGUCUCCCAGUGGGAAGGGAGCCCGGGCGCCGGAGGCUCCCGGCGGCGGGCCCCGGCCGCUCGCCCGGGACCUGGAGGACUCGGUGGACGACGCGGAGGGGCUGUACGUGGCGGUGGAGCGGUGCCCGCUAUGCAACACCACCCGCCGGCGGCUGACCUGCGCCAAGUGCGUUCAGAACGGCGAUUUCGUCUACUUCGACGGCCGCGACCGGGAGAGGUUUAUAGACAAGAAGGAACGGUUAAGCCAACUUAAGAGCAAGCAGGAAGAAUUUCAAAAAGAAGUUUUAAAAGCUAUGGACGGAAAAUGGAUAACAGAUCAGUUGAGAUGGAAAAUAAUGUCCUGCAAGAUGAGGAUUGAACAGCUGAAACAAACAAUAUGCAAAGGAAAUGAAGAAAUGAAGAAAAAUUCUGAAGGCCUUCUCAAAACCAAGGAAAAGAAUCAGAAGCUUUAUACUAGAGCACAACGGCAUCAAGAGAAAAAGGAGAAGAUUCAGAGGCAUAACCGCAAACUUGGGGACCUAGUAGAAAAAAAGACCAUCGACUUAAAAAGUCAUUAUGAGCGUCUGGCAGAUCUUCGGCGAUCUCAUAUAUUAGAGCUCACCUCUGUCAUUUUUCCAAUUGAGGAAGUGAAGACUGGUGCGAGAGACCCCGCGGAUAUGUCUUCAGAGAGUGACAGUGCCAUGACCUCCAGCACCGUGAGCAAGCUUGCUGAAGCCCGGAGGACGACGUACCACUCAGGAAGAUGGGUCUGUGACGACCACAAUGGGGACACCAGCAUCAGCAUCACAGGGCCAUGGAUCAGCCUUCCCAACAACGGGGACUACUCUGCCUACUACAAUUGGGUGGAAGAGAAGAAAACCACGCAGGGGCCUGACAUGGAGCAUAACAACCCUGCCCACACCAUCAGCGCUGCGCUGUGCUAUGCGACUCAGCUGGCCAACAUUUUGUCUCAUAUACUCGACAUAAAUCUUCCCAAAAAGCUGUGCAACAGUGAAUUUUGUGGGGAAAAUCUCAGCAGACAGAAAUUUACUCGAGCAGUAAAGAAACUGAAUGCGAAUAUUCUUUACCUGUGCUUUUCUCAGCAUGUAAAUUUAGAUCAAUUACAACCACUGCAUACCCUCAGGAAUCUAAUGUACCUGGUCAGCCCGAAUUCUGAACACCUAGGCAGGUCGGGGCCCUUUGAAGUGCGAGCAGACCUCGAAGAGUCCAUGGAAUUUGUGGAUCCCGGAGUUGCUGGAGAAUCAGAUGAGAGUGGAGACGAGCACAUAAGUGACGAGGAAACCGACUUGGGCACAGACUGGGAGAACUUGCCAAGCCCCCGGUUCUGUGACAUCCCUUCCCAGCCCGUGGAGGUCUUCCAGAGCCAGAGCACCCAGGCCACCCCGCCCAUCGCCAGCAGCAGUGCGGGCGGGAUGAUCUCCUCCGCUGCAGCCUCGGUGACCUCCUGGUUUAAAGCUUACACUGGACACCGUUAACGAGCAUGGAUCAAGACGUGCCAGAUUUGCAUCAGGAAAGUAAACUAGUUAACUAUGUAUUUAGGUAAGAGUACUCAGACACAGGCCGACAUGCUGGUCCUCGUGAUGCUGAGACUAUUACUGUCACUUUAUGUUGUAGAGAUUGAAUCUCAUGGAACUGAUUCUUAAUGAUUAGGACUUGAAAGAUAAAAAACUGUUUAAUAUGAGUUUGUUUUUAUACGAUCAUUUUUGUACAGAGAACCAGCAGGCAAUUUGAGAUACUUGAUUUCUGUAUAAUUUGGUCAUGUUUGUUUUUUAGGUCAAGGAUUUUGGUUUUGUUUGGAAGGGUGGUAUUUUUUGGGGGGGCGGGGAGUAGUUUAAAAAUUAUUUCACUUGUGCAGACAUUCCUGUUUUUCUUUCUCCCCACACACCAAAGAAACUAAGCUCUUUUCUUUAGGACCCACAUCCAUGAACAGGAGAAAUUCUAGCUGCAAUAAUGUCCUAGAGAUUGUAAACCUAUUUUCUUACAUUCUGAGUGGAAUUUAGUUCAUUCUUACCUAGAUUAUUGAAUUCCUACCAUCUAUUGUACACUAUGUGCAGUUUGAAAUGAAACUUAUUUUCUAUGAGUGAAAGAUUUAAGUCAUUAAGGUUGUUUGCUAAUGUAAGUUAAAUGCCUGCCUGGGCACAGGUUAAAAGCCACACAGUGGCCUUUAGUAUUAGGUGUCCAAUUUGUUCCUGAGGGAUUUAGUAGGUGGCAGGUUUUUCCAGGGAAAGCCAUCCUGCUUGUUUCCUAAAAGGCUUUGUUGCUCUAAGGACACUACCUUCCUCAGAGACGCUGAGGGAGUCACAGCCGGUCUCCUCUCGUGGGGGCCGCUCCAGGGCAGGCUGUUUCCUCACCAACAGACCAUUUUCAGCUCAUUUUCUUGUCAUUCUCUAGUGACAAUCUUUCAAGAAAACCGUAGAGAGGCAUUAUGUACAAAUAUGUAAGUAGUUUAUUUUUAAUAACUGCAACAAAAAAAAAAUCCUAUGUAACUACAAAAAGAAAUCCUAUGAAAAACUCCUAACAGGCAUUAUCACCAUAUCUUGUUAGUGUGAUUAGCAUGAUAGUACCUCAGAUAAAUCUCUUGGGGGUUUGCCCUGCCCUAGCUUCUUUUCUCAUUGUAAUUAUUAGACUUGGUCUUUCCUCCAAACCCGAGGUGCUACUUAGCUUUUGCUAUUGGUAUAGUUAGUGUUCGGCAGAGUUUGGGGUAGAGUUGCCGAGGGUUGUUUAUUCCUACCCAGGAGUCCCAAGUUCCCUGAAUGUGAAUUUGCCGCUUUAGGGGGAAACAGGCUCUCUCUUAACUGCUUAGCUUCAUGUUGCUGGGCUUGUGUUGUACCAUCCAGGCCUGUAAUUCAUAGAGUGGUUGACUUAACGAACACUGAGUGAAUGGAAAAUCCCAUGAGGUGAGACUUACCAGGUCCUUCCAGCCCUCACAAAGAGCUUAGUCUCAAGAACUGAAAAACUGGGAUUUGGGGCUUGAGGGUAGAGCUUGACUUCAGCUGAAAGAUGCACAAUAGUCAUGGUUCUUAAGUAAGCUUCUUGGAAACCAUGAAUGUGAGAUGAAGCUUAAGAACAGAAUCCAGAGAUCACAAGCUAGAGUAAUUCAACAAACCGUGCAAGGAUAUGGGAAAUAUAGGGAAUGAUAGGGUAUAUUUAGUUGUUAUGAACUAGAGGCACUUUACUUAGGGUUAAAUGAUCAAACCCUUUAGUGGUUAUGAACACCAACAUACUGGCUUACACUGCUGAGGUAUUUUGGUUUUCAUUAUUUUGCACUGGAUCCACCCUCUAAAUAUUCUUAAGUAUACAUUUCAACCACUGUUUUUUCUAUUCUUUUUGCUGCUCAUUAAAUUCUUUCAUGUAGGUGCCAGAACCAUAUGUAAACAGCUUUAAAAAAAAAAAAAUUGAAGCUGGUUUUAUUUUUAAACAAAAAGCCAUAGACCUUGGUCCUUUAUUCCACAUUGAAAUGAUUUGUUGAAACAAAAUAAUACUAAUAAAAAUCCAGAGGCACCAAUAGGCUGCUUAAAAUGGUCUGCUAAAGACUUUGGUAAUGGAGUAUGACUAAGAAAAGUUUUGCACAUCUGUACAUUAAGACGAAAAACAUGUCAGCAUUGGGUCUAGCAGACAGGAUGCAUUAAGGAUUCGUGUGUUGGUAAUUUGGAAAAAAGCAUUUGGUGGCAUGCUGUUAAAAGAACAGUGUCUGAGACUCUCUUCCGUGGUGUCAUGUUGCAGGAAUUUCCCAUUGCUCUGCAACUUCCAAACCAGUUUGAGUCAUACAAAUGUUUUCUAAACUUUUAUUGUAUUAUUACAAUAAACCUUUUACCAGUAUUUUGCUA